GAUGAACGCUGGCGGCGUGCCUAAUACAUGCGAGUCGAGCGAACGGACGAGAAGCUUGCUUCUCUGAUGUUAGCGGCGGACGGGUGAGUAACACGUGGAUAACCUACCUAUAAGACUGGGAUAACUUCGGGAAACCGGAGCUAAUACCGGAUAAUAUUUUGAACCGCAUGGUUCAAAAGUGAAAGACGGUCUUGCUGUCACUUAUAGAUGGAUCCGCGCUGCAUUAGCUAGUUGGUAAGGUAACGGCUUACCAAGGCAACGAUGCAUAGCCGACCUGAGAGGGUGAUCGGCCACACUGGAACUGAGCCCCGGUCCAGACUCCUACGGGAGGCAGCAGUAGGGAAUCUUCCGCAAUGGGCGAAAGCCUGACGGGGCAACGCCGCGUGAGUGAUGAAGGUCUUCGGAUCGUAAAACUCUGUUAUUAGGGAAGAACAUAUGUGUAAGUAACUGUGCACAUCUUGACGGUACCUAAUCAGAAAGCCACGGCUAACUACGUG
rnacentral:rRNA from 1 species